rnacentral:rRNA from 1 species
UCGAAGAAGGUAAAAACCCUGUAGUUGAAACUUCGUUCCCUCCUGAGUGGAUCCUGAGUACGGCGGGACACGAGAAAUCCCGUCGGAAGCAGGGAGGACCAUCUCCCAAGGCUAAAUACUCCCUAGUGACCGAUAGUGAACCAGUACCGUGAGGGAAAGGUGAAAAGCACCCCGGAAGGGGAGUGAAAUAGAUCCUGAAACCGUGUGCCUACAAGUAGUCAAAGCCCGUUAAUGGGUAAUGGCGUGCCUUUUGUAGAAUGAACCGGCGAGUUACGAUUUCAUGCGAGGUUAAGUUGAUGAGACGGAGCCGCAGCGAAAGCGAGUCUGAAUAGGGCGAAUGAGUAUGAGGUCGUAGACCCGAAACCAGGUGAUCUACCCAUGUCCAGGGUGAAGUUCAGGUAACACUGAAUGGAGGCCCGAACCCACGCACGUUGAAAAGUGCGGGGAUGAGGUGUGGGUAGCGGAGAAAUUCCAAUCGAACCUGGAGAUAGCUGGUUCUCUCCGAAAUAGCUUUAGGGCUAGCCUCAAGAUGAGAGUAUUGGAGGUAGAGCACUGAUUGGACUAGGGGCCCCCAACGGGUUACCGAAUUCAGUCAAACUCCGAAUGCCAAAUACUUAUUCUUGGGAGUCAGACUGCGAGUGAUAAGAUCCGUAGUCGAAAGGGAAACAGCCCAGACCACCAGCUAAGGUCCCAAAGUAUACGUUAAGUGGAAAAGGAUGUGGAGUUGCUUAGACAACCAGGAUGUUGGCUUAGAAGCAGCCACCAUUUAAAGAGUGCGUAAUAGCUCACUGGUCGAGUGACUCCGCGCCGAAAAUGUACCGGGGCUAAACGUAUCACCGAAGCUGUGGAUUGACACCGUAUGGUGUCGAUGGUAGGAGAGCGUUCUAAGGGCGUUGAAGUCAGACCGGAAGGACUGGUGGAGCGCUUAGAAGUGAGAAUGCCGGUAUGAGUAGCGAAAGAAGGGUGAGAAUCCCUUCCACCGAAUGCCUAAGGUUUCCUGAGGAAGGCUCGUCCGCUCAGGGUUAGUCGGGACCUAAGCCGAGGCCGAAAGGCGUAGGCGAUGGACAACAGGUUGAUAUUCCUGUACCACCUAUACAUCGUUUGAACGAUGGGGGGACGCAGAAGGAUAGGGUAAGCGCGCUGUUGGAUAUGCGCGUCCAAGCAGUUAGGCCGGAAACGAGGCAAAUCCCGUUUCCAUUAAGGCGGAGCUGUGAUGGCGAGGGAAAUAUAGUACCGAAGUUCCUGAUUCCACGCUGCCAAGAAAAGCCUCUAGUGAGAUGUAAGGUGCCCGUACCGCAAACCGACACAGGUAGGCGAGGAGAGAAUCCUAAGGUGUGCGAGAGAACUCUCGUUAAGGAACUCGGCAAAAUGACCCCGUAACUUCGGGAGAAGGGGUGCUUUUUAGGGUGAAUAGCCCAGAAAAGCCGCAGUGAAUAGGCCCAGGCGACUGUUUAGCAAAAACACAGGUCUCUGCGAAGCCGCAAGGCGAAGUAUAGGGGCUGACACCUGCCCGGUGCUGGAAGGUUAAGGGGAGAGGUUAGCGCAAGCGAAGCUUUGAACCGAAGCCCCAGUAAACGGCGGCCGUAACUAUAACGGUCCUAAGGUAGCGAAAUUCCUUGUCGGGUAAGUUCCGACCCGCACGAAAGGUGUAACGAUCUGGGCACUGUCUCAACGAGAGACUCGGUGAAAUUAUAGUACCUGUGAAGAUGCAGGUUACCCGCGACAGGACGGAAAGACCCCGUGGAGCUUUACUGCAGCCUGAUAUUGAAUUUUGGUACAGCUUGUACAGGAUAGGUAGGAGCCUGAGAAGCCGGAGCGCCAGCUUCGGUGGAGGCGUUGGUGGGAUACUACCCUGGCUGUAUUGAAAUUCUAACCCGCGCCCCUUAUCGGGGUGGGAGACAGUGUCAGGUGGGCAGUUUGACUGGGGCGGUCGCCUCCUAAAGAGUAACGGAGGCGCCCAAAGGUUCCCUCAGAAUGGUUGGAAAUCAUUCGUAGAGUGUAAAGGCACAAGGGAGCUUGACUGCGAGACCUACAAGUCGAGCAGGGACGAAAGUCGGGCUUAGUGAUCCGGUGGUUCCGCAUGGAAGGGCCAUCGCUCAACGGAUAAAAGCUACCCCGGGGAUAACAGGCUUAUCUCCCCCAAGAGUCCACAUCGACGGGGAGGUUUGGCACCUCGAUGUCGGCUCAUCGCAUCCUGGGGCUGUAGUCGGUCCCAAGGGUUGGGCUGUUCGCCCAUUAAAGCGGUACGCGAGCUGGGUUCAGAACGUCGUGAGACAGUUCGGUCCCUAUCCGUCGCGGGCGCAGGAAAUUUGAGAGGAGCUGUCCUUAGUACGAGAGGACCGGGAUGGACGCACCGCUGGUGUACCAGUUGUCUUGCCAAAGGCAUAGCUGGGUAGCUACGUGCGGACGGGAUAAGUGCUGAAAGCAUCUAAGCAUGAAGCCCCCCUCAAGAUGAGAUUUCCCAUGGCGCAAGCUAGU